GACGAACGCUGGCGGCGUGCCUAAUACAUGCAAGUUGAGCGCUGAAGGUUGGUACUUGUACCAACUGGAUGAGCAGCGAACGGGUGAGUAACGCGUGGGGAAUCUGCCUUUGAGCGGGGGACAACAUUUGGAAACGAAUGCUAAUACCGCAUAAAAACUUUAAACACAAGUUUUAAGUUUGAAAGAUGCAAUUGCAUCACUCAAAGAUGAUCCCGCGUUGUAUUAGCUAGUUGGUGAGGUAAAGGCGCACCAAGGCGAUGAUACAUAGCCGACCUGAGAGGGUGAUCAGCCACAUUGGGACUGAGACACGGCCCAAACUCCUACGGGAAGCAGCAGUAGGGAAUCUUCGGCAAUGGACGAAAGUCUGACCGAGCAACGCCGCGUGAGUGAAGAAGGUUUUCGGAUCGUAAAACUCUGUUGGUAGGGAAGAACGUUGGUGAGAGUGGAAAGCUCAUCAAGUGACGGUAACUACCCAGAAAGGGACGGCUAACUACGUG
rnacentral:rRNA from 1 species